GGCGCAAGGGUGCGUAACACGUGGGCAAUCUGCCGUGAAGUUUGGGAUAACUUGCUGAAAGGCGAGCUAAUACCGGAUGUGACAACCUGGGGGCAUCUCUGGGUUGUUAAAGUUGGGGACCGCAAGGCCUGACGCUUCACGAUGAACCCGCGGCCUAUCAGCUAGUUGGUGAGGUAACGGCUCACCAAGGCUAAGACGGGUAGCUGGUCUGAGAGGACGACCAGCCACACUGGAACUGAGACACGGUCCAGACACCUACGGGUGGCAGCAGUCGAGAAUUUUUCACAAUGGGCGAAAGCCUGAUGGAGCGACGCCGCGUGGGGGAUGAAUGGCUUCGGCCCGUAAACCCCUGUCAUUCGCGAUCAACCCUUAUUAUUUAAAAGAUGAUGAGCUGAUAGUAGCGGAAGAGGAAGGGACGGCUAACUCUGUGCCAGCAGCCGCGGUAAUACAGAGGUCCCGAGCGUUGUUCGGAUUCACUGGGCGUAAAGGGUGCGUAGGUGGUGGGGUAAGUCGGAUGUGAAAUCUCCAAGCUCAACUUGGAAAUGGCAUUGGAAACUGCCC
rnacentral:rRNA from 1 species